rnacentral:lncRNA from 1 species
ACGUAAUCAUUGUCUCGGAAACAUGGAUUGUUCUCCUUCAUUGUGCCCCUUGCUUAAUAUGAAAGCAAUUUGUAGUAGUUAUAGUUGUAUUUGCAUCAAAGUCUACCCCAAUUAAGUUAAAAUAUAAUUAUAUGUUACUUAUACUUCUACAAUUUUACUUAUUACACGUUAAAAUAUUGUCACUUCUAUGAUUGCUUGCACAUAUUGAUUAUUAUUUUGAUUAUUAUUACUUAAACCUUUCAAUUUUAUUGUAAUGCUCUGAAGCGUAGACCAAACGAUAAUUCCUUAGAUUAAAAAAAAAAAGUAGUACAAGAAAUUAAAAUAUUUGAAAGCAAAUUAAAAGAAGAAUAUAUUUUUAUAUAAAAUCACCCUAGAAUCAUAUAUUUCAUCAGAAGCACAUAAUGCUAACCCCAUCUUCUUUCCCUUGUCAUGAAAAACAAUUUCUAAUCAAAUUUCAAGGUAAUGAAAUGAACCAACAUAGCAAAUGUUUUCUCUCUCGAAACAAUUAACGGAACAUUCUUCAUAUGCGUGUUAGAAAUCCUCGCAUAUGUCAAGGACAUGAUACUUGGACAUAUCAUAUAGUUUCAGACAUACCUCAACUUCACCUCUUGGUCUUAUUGUCAAGGAAGGUUUUAAAUUGCGUUCCGCAUUCGCAAUUGCGGCCGUGGUAUUGCUGAUGUGGUAGCCUCUGUAACCGCAUCACACCAUAAUUAUGGUGUGAUCUUAAUUCACGUGUACGACCGCAUCACAACUGCAUCAGAAGCCGCGUCAGACGUUUUCGGCGAUGUUCGUUCAAAUUUUCUCACCAAAAAAUAAAAUUUAUGAACUUCAAAUUCUAAUUUGUGUCAAAUCUAAUGAAAAAUCUUACUUUUAAUGAUCUCUCAACCGUGUAUUUUAAGAACAUUCAAAUUCGUGUUUAUAGAAUAAACUAAGGGUCUGUUUGGUAAAAAUAAGCUAUAAGCUAGCUGAUAGCUGAUAAGCUAGCUGAUAGCUGAAAAGCUAGCUUAUAGCUGAUAGCUGAAAAGCUAGCUUAUUGAAAUUAAANNNNNNNNNNNNNNNNNNNNNNNNNNUACAUAAUUGAUAGUGGGUAGUUUAUUUUUUAGAUGGGUAGUUAUUAAAUUAAAGGGUAAAAAUGGAAUAAAGUGUAAAAAGCUAUAAGCUAUAAGCUCAAAUGCUACUUGAAAUAGCAUCUGGAAAAAAGCUAUAAGCUAGUACAAAAAGCUUGUUACCAAACACCUCUAAUUUUUUGAAACAAGCUUAUAAGCUCAUAUAAUAAGCUAUAAGCUAGCUUAUUUGUGUUACCAAACAGAGCCUAAGACUAUGCAAUGGUGGAUAAAUUGUGUAGUUACAUAGUAGUUUCAUUAUAUAUAGCUUGUGAAAUUUCAAAAUGAUUUCACGCCGCAACAGCCGCAUGUUGGAACAACAUUGGUUCUAAAGCCCCAAGUUUUAAAUCUAUAAAGUUUUGAUGAUAACAAUAAGUAUUAAAUGUAAAAUUGGAAGUACUAAUUUUUUCAAUCUAGUGUGCAGGACCAUUAUAAGCAAACUCUGAAAACCUUAAGUUCUGAAGAAAACAAACAUGCUCUGAAAAGGCAUGCUCUGAUAAGGUUUCAGAAGCAAGGAUGUUCUGAGAGUUUUUUGACUCAUAAGCAAAAAGUCUUCAGAAGAUGAUCAGUUCUCUGUGCAAUGAUAAGUUGCUUUCAUGACAGUCAAUUUCAGAGAACGUUGGAGCCAAGUUAAAAGGAACUUACUCGGAUAUCGUAUAAGGAAUUCAAAAUGGAUAAUCAAGCUUAUCAACCUUAUUCCAAUGUUGGGUGAACGCAGAAGUCAAACUGUGAAAGUUUCUCUGUUUGAUAUAAACAUCUUCUGUAGUGACAAAGUAGAGGAACCUCACUACCACUUUGGUAUGUCAUGUUUCUUUCAUCUCCAGACUGCCAAGAAAACGUUAACUGGCUACCUGAUCCUUGCACAACGGUCAUAUCUACAUGGAGCGUACUCCUUGAACUAUAUAUACAACACUCCAUCGUGAAGACCCGUGACAAAAAACGCUAUCUAUUAAUUGCACACUCUCUCUGAGAACCUUUGAAUCUCAUUCAUAUCAAAAUACUUUGAAGUCUGUAUCUACUCAUUGUAUUUUUAGCUUUAAGGUUUCAUUAGUGCUCUGUAUUAUUACAACAAACUUUAUUUAUUCUUAAGUUUGAGAAGUCUCUUGCUGUGUGCUUGAGCAUUGUGUAGAAGUCUCUUGCUGUGUGCUUGAGCAUUUGUAAUCUUGUGUGAUUAUAGUGGAACUCCCUUGAAAGUGCAAGGGGACUGGACUACUCUCAUUUUGUGAGAGGAACCAGUAUAAAAUUUGUGGACUACUCUCAUUUAGUCUUAAUUUAUUCCAUAAACAUUAGUUUGAAUGUUGUUAACAUAUACAGUUAAGAGAUUGUUAAAAGUAAGAUUUUUCAUUUGAUUUGACAUAGUUAAGAUUUGAAGUUCAUAAAUUUUAUUUUUAAAAUUUGAACAAAC